AUAAAAGGUACCCCGGGGAUAACAGGCUGAUCUUGCCCAAGAGUCCAUAUCGACGGCAUGGUUUGGCACCUCGAUGUCGGCUCGUCGCAUCCUGGGGCUGGAGUAGGUCCCAAGGGUUGGGCUGUUCGCCCAUUAAAGCGGUACGCGAGCUGGGUUUAGAACGUCGUGAGACAGUUCGGUCCCUAUCCGCCACGCGCGCAAGAGUCUUGAGGAGACCUGUCCCUAGUACGAGAGGACCGGGAUGGACGAACCUCUGGUGUGCCAGUUGUCCUGCCAAGGGCACUGCUGGUUAGCUACGUUCGGAAGGGAUAACCGCUGAAAGCAUCUAAGCGGGAAACCCGCUCCAAGAUGAGGACUCUCACAGGGUUAACCUGGUAAGGCCCCCAGCUAGACGACUGGGUUGAUAGGCCGGAUGUGGAAAUGCGGUAACGCAUGGAGCUGACCGGUACUAAUAGGCCGAGGACUUGCCUCA
rnacentral:rRNA from 1 species